rnacentral:rRNA from 1 species
AGCAGCCGCGGUAAUUCCAGCUCCAAUAGCGUAUAUUAAAGUUGUUGCAGUUAAAAAGCUCGUAGUUGAAUUUCGGGAUCAGUUGGUCGGUCGUGCCUCGGUACGUACUGGUCAAAUUGAUUCCUACCUUCUGACGAACCACGAUGUCGUUAAUUUGGUGUCGUGGGAAAUCAGGACUGUUACUUUGAAAAAAUUAGAGUGUUUAAAGCAGGCUCGCGCUUGAAUACAUUAGCAUGGAAUAAUGAAAUAGGACGUUUGAUUCUAUUUUGUUGGUUUCUAGGAUCGACGUAAUGAUUAAUAGGGAUAGUUGGGGGCAUUAGUAUUCAAUUGUCAGAGGUGAAAUUCUUGGAUUUAUUGAAGACUAACUACUGCGAAAGCAUUUGCCAAGGAUGUUUUCAUUAAUCAAGAACGAAAGUUAGGGGAUCGAAGACGAUCAGAUACCGUCGUAGUCUUAACCAUAAACUAUGCCGACUAGGGAUCGGAUGAUGUUAAUUUUUUCAAUGACUCAUUCGGCGCCUUA